rnacentral:tRNA from 1 species
GCUUUGGUAGCUCAGAGGUAGAGCGGCGGGUUGAAGGUCCGCGCGACGGUGGUUCGAUCCCAUCCCAAAGCACCA